GACGUUUUGAAUGUGCUAAAUAUGCUGCAAAAUAUUAAAGAUAUCUAAAAUCUAGGCACUGUGGAAGACCUCGGGAAAAAUUUGAAGAUGUUUCUGUGCUAUUGGUGAGUUUAUUCAGCAGUUAAAUUACUAUGAACAUAAAUAAUGGACAAAAUCUCGGAAAUAGGCACUAGUACAGAUAUUCAAUUAUGAUAAAGCAUGAAUGCUCUGUUUGCAAGAAUUUUAACAUGUGAGUGGAUUUUAAUGUGGUGUUAAUUAAUAUGGAUGACUAAUGUGGAUGUUAGUUAAUGUGUUUUAGAGGGGGUAUGAUAGAUUAAAGAUGGCUGUAAAUGCAAAUUAUUUUUCACUCUUCCCUUUGAGAAGUAAACUCUAACUGAAUGGGGACUACCC
rnacentral:lncRNA from 12 species